GAACUGCGAUAAGUAAUGUGAAUUGCAGAAUUCAGUGAAUCAUCGAGUCUUUGAACGCACAUUGCGCCCCCUGGUAUUCCGGGGGGCAUGCCUGUCCGAGCGUCAUUGCUGCCCUCAAGCACGGCUUGUGUGUUGGGCUUCCGUCCCUGGCAACGGGGACGGGCCCAAAAGGCAGUGGCGGCACCAUGUCUGGUCCUCGAGCGUAUGGGGCUUUGUCACCCGCUCCCGUAGGUCCAGCUGGCAGCUAGCCUCGCAACCAAUCUUUUUAACCAGGUUGACCUCGGAUCAGGUAGGGAUACCCGCUGAACUUAAGC
rnacentral:misc_RNA from 1 species